UACGUAGGGGGGCAAGCGUUGUCCGGAAUCAUUGGGCGUAAAGCGCGUGUAGGCGGUCCGGUAAGUCCGCUGUAAAAGUCAAGGGCUCAACCCUUGAAAGCCGGUGGAUACUGUCGGGCUCGAGUCCGGAAGAGGCGAGUGGAAUUCCUGGUGUAGCGGUGGAAUGCGCAGAUAUCAGGAGGAACACCGAUGGCGAAGGCAGCUCGCUGGGACGGUACUGACACUGAGGCGCGAAAGCGUGGGGAGCGAACAGG
rnacentral:rRNA from 1 species